rnacentral:rRNA from 1 species
AAUCUGCCCUCAGGAGGGGGAUAACGGUUGGAAACGACCGCUAAUACCCCAUAUGCCUAUUGGUGAAAUGAAUUUCGCCUGAGGAUGAGCUCGCGUCUGAUUAGCUAGUUGGUGAGGUAAUGGCUCACCAAGGCUUCGAUCAGUAGCUGGUCUGAGAGGAUGAUCAGCCACACUGGGACUGAGACACGGCCCAGACUCCUACGGGAGGCAGCAGUGGGGAAUUUUCCGCAAUGGGCGAAAGCCUGACGGAGCAACGCCGCGUGAGGGACGAAGGCCUCUGGGCUGUAAACCUCUUUUCUCAAGGAAGAAGAUAUGACGGUACUUGAGGAAUAAGCCACGGCUAAUUCCGUGCCAGCAGCCGCGGUAAUACGGGAGUGGCAAGCGU